AAUAGAUACCCGGGUAGUCCACGCCGUAAACGAUGUCGACUUGGAGGUUGUUCCCUUGAGGAGUGGCUUCCGGAGCUAACGCGUUAAGUCGACCGCCUGGGGAGUACGGCCGCAAGGUUAAAACUCAAAUGAAUUGACGGGGCCCGCACAAGCGGUGGAGCAUGUGGUUUAAUUCGAUGCAACGCGAAGAACCUUACCUACUCUUGACAUCCACGGAACUUUUCAGAGAUGAAUUGGUGCCUUCGGGAACCGUGAGACAGGUGCUGCAUGGCUGUCGUCAGCUCGUGUUGUGAAAUGUUGGGCUAAGUCCCGCAACGAGCGCAACCCUUAUCCUUUGUUGCCAGCGGUUAGGCCGGGAACUCAAAGGGGACUGCCAGUGAUAAACUGGAGGAAGGUGGGGAUGACGUCAAGUCAUCAUGGCCCUUACGAGUAGGGCUACACACGUGCUACAAUGGCGCAUACAAAGAGAAGCGACCUCGCGAGAGCAAGCGGACCUCAUAAAGUGCGUCGUAGUCCGGAUUGGAGUCUGCAACUCGACUCC
rnacentral:rRNA from 1 species